UUCCACUGUCUGCGCUGGCUGCCAUCGCACCUAUACCAAGCCAUCCAGUGGGCCUCUUCGCCUCGUUGUGUGUUUCUCACUCUCUCGCCUCGUGUCCUCUCUUAGACGCUUGCUCUCGCCGCAAGAGGCCCACGCCGCCAGCGCUGCGGCGAGAGCAUAAUAUGGUGAAGCUGUCGGUGCUGCCCGCCGUUGCCGUUGCCGUUACCGUUUCAGUCUCAGUCUCAGUCGCAGUCUCAGCUGUCAGGCGUCUGGCAAAGCUGUGCUUAGUCAAAUUUCGGUAACGGAACCUGCUCGUCAUCGCUAGCGCCGAAGUGAACGUAGACGCCGACGUCGUAUAGCCGACACGAACAAAAAGCGAACCGAAUCGGAGUUGAAGCGACGCAACGCGACGCGACGCGACGUCGACGUCGCUGCCCAGUUGCCAUACGAGCCUCUGUCGCGCUCGACUUCGCUGCAAGGAAUAUAAUUGUAAUCAGUUGUGUAUAGGACACACGCGUGUGCGCAUCGACUGGUUCCUUUCUAACGAAAGCGUCAACAUUUCGCUAACGGAAACUGUGCUGCUUGGCGGUAAAGCUGCGCGACUGGUGCUCAACUUGUAUUUAUCUGCUGCUGUUUUAAUUGUUGUUGCUGCUGUCAAUUGUUGAUUGUGGUCCUUGUUGUUGUUGUUGCGCCAUCGGACUCUAUUUGUCAAAUUUGUCAAAUAAACGCGCGUAGCAGCGUAAAUGAAAAAAUUUUCCAGCUACAGCUGCUGGCGGUGCCACGGCCGCAGCUGCUAGUGCUGCUGCUGCUCUGCCAGCGUCGCAGCCGCUGCUUACGACUGCGCUGCUGCGCUGUCCGAGAUAAAGGAUAUGCCCGGAUCUAAAAGAUACAGUUUUUUUUUUCGCCAACUUGUGCAGGCUGCUUGCUUGGCUUUUUGCUGUGUCGCUUCGUUCCUAAGCGAACUUAAGCAGUAACAGCAACAAAAGCAACAACAAACAAUCACAGCAACAACUUUAACAGCAGCAGCAAAGAGAAAAAAUUACAAUGUGUGUGCGUGCGGUUUGGAUAGCAGAGUAAAAAUGAGUGACAAGUUGGCAAAAACCAAAAAUGAACAAAAGUGUGCACAACUAUGCAAAUAAAUUAAUAAGCCAAAGUCAUUACCAAAUUAAAAUAAGACACGCAAAUGCUGAAGGCGGGCAGCCAGAAAAAAUUAAAUAAAUAAAGGAAGAGUCACAACGAGGACCUUGUCAAGUGCGUUGAGUCGCGUCGAGUCAAGUUGAGUCGAGUCGAGUCGAGUGUGGAAAGUCAAGAGGUUCUGGGUUCGGAGUGUCAGAGCUGCUGGCAUGCUUUGGGGCUAACUCGUUCAACGUUCUCGUCCUCGCCCUCGUCGUCCUCGCCGCCCUCGCUAUCCUCGUCGUCGUCAUCACCGCCAAAGGCAUCGAAGCGAUGCUUGCCUCAUUAGCGACUUAGCACCCGAAAUUCCCCCAGCUGCAGUAAGGUAACGCCAGAGGAAGCCGAAACUAAAACCAAAAACCCAAACCACAGCCAAAAGCAAGG